CCCCAGACUCCUACGGGAGGCAGCAGUGGGGAAUAUUGCACAAUGGGGGAAACCCUGAUGCAGCAACGCCGCGUGAGUGAAGAAGUAUUUCGGUAUGUAAAGCUCUCUCAGCAGGGAAGAAGAUGACGGUACCUGGGGAGGAAGCUCCGGCUAACUACGUGCCAGCAGCCGCGGUAAUACGUAGGGAGCGAGCGUUGUCCGGAAUUACUGGGUGUAAAGGGAGCGUAGGCGGGACUGCAAGUUGGGUGUCAAAUCUACCGGCUCAACCGGUAGCCGCACUCAAAACUGCAGUUCUUGAGUGAAGUAGAGGCAGGCGGAAUUCCUAGUGUAGCGGUGAAAUGCGUAGAUAUUAGGAGGAACACCAGUGGCGAAGGCGGCCUGCUGGGCUUUUACUGACGCUGAGGCUCGAAAGUGUGGGGAGCAAACAGGAUUAGAUACCCCUGUAUAG
rnacentral:rRNA from 1 species